UUUUUUUCUUUUUAGAAAACAAUUUUUAAAAUCUGUAAAAGAUUUUAAAAAUAUUUUGUGAAUAUUUUUAUUUUAAAAUAUUUCACAGGAUAUAAAUUAACUGUGUGUAUUUACACAGACAACAACUUCACUAAUUUACAAACCAAUGGGUUUCAUUUCCCCCUAAUUAUGAUUAAAGAAAUGUAAAGCAACUUUAACCCCCCUCCCCCCAAAAAAAUCAUAGGAUUUUUUCCCCCAGUUAAGAAAGCCAUUGUUGGAUUCUCUGAUAUACUUAGAAAUGACACUAAUUCAUUUACCCCUAAGCACUUACUGGGAACCAGAACUGCAUUAGAUAUUUCUAAUGCUUGUUGGAUUUUAAUUUUUUCUAACUUAAGUUGUAACUAAAGUCUUUGAGAAAAAUUUCAACUUCACAUCUCUCUGCAAUGAACUUUAAAAUUGGAAAGAUUCUUCUAGAACUAUCUACACUGUUUCUUGUAGAAGAAAUGAGACAGUCCUGGCUGGUCCACUUGGAGCCCAUGGGCUUUCUGGGUUCUCCAUCUAUUAGCAAUGGCAGAUAAAAUGUCCUUUUUUGGCCAGGAGAUUGACAUCUAAUAUGAACCCUGGGGUGAGGAGAAGAUUGGGCUCACAAGAGCACCACUAUAAUUAGACUGUUAAACUUAGAAAUGUGGACACUGAACACUGACCUGACCUCUCUGUCCAGUGCAGGUCCAGGCCAAGGAGAAUAGACAAUGGGCAAAGCAUCAGCUCCUGCUCUCUCUAAAAUUACACUGUUAUUACAGUAGCCACUAACAAAGGAUCUGGGGUAGCCGUGUGGGAGUCCUCCAAGGAUCGAAGCAGGCUUCAGAUCCAGAGACCCUCUAGUCAUCCAUGCAGAGCAAGGAUGGAGAGUAGGGAAUGGAUUUGCAACCACAGCAGGACCCAUGGUUAUUGAGUAAGAGAUGAGGAGGGUACCUGUCCAGGCUAUGAGAGAGGAAGUUGGCAGGCUGGAUCUGGAGGUCCAGUCAACUAUUGGGGACCUGAAGGCCCUGCAGGGCCAGGCUCUUCUCCUGCUCUCUUUCCUCCUGCCAUCCUCCUGCCAUCUCUUUCCUCCUGACACUCUCCUGGAUACCACUGGGACUCAAGGACAUACCUAGGUAAAAGGAUUCUGUGGGCCUCUAGAGUUCUGCUUCUCUAAGUAUGGUCCAUGGACCAGCAACACUGGCAGAAAUGCAAAAUCUCAGGCCCCAACCCAGACCAGCCCAGGACCCAUGGAGUCAGAACCUGGAUUGUAACAAGAUCUCCAAGAGAUUCAUCUGAACAUUAAGGUUUGAGAAGCCCUGCCCUGUUCGGGCCUUCCUGUACUCUGCCUGCAGGAGAGUGGCUGUGGUGGUUAAAUUGAGAGUGGCAUCUGCGAAGCCACACGCAGCUCUGCCUGGGUCCUGCUGGUACUAGCUGUAGAGUCUUGGCAUCAUCUUCCUGUGCGUCAGUCUCUAUUCUGUGAACUGGAAAUAGUGCCUCCUCCAAUGGGUCACUGUGACUUAAAUGAGUCAUUGCAUGUAAAGGGCUUGGAACAGGGCCUGAUACAUUGCAAAUACCAGUAACUGUUAGAUUUGUUGCUAAAUAUGUGUCAGUGGCCCUGGCGGUGCUGGCCCCACCCAUUAAUGUGUACACAUCUUCCCCUACUGACCUGGCAAAAGAGUGUCCCCCAACAUACUGCUCUGAUGUUAGAGUGCCCCCCUUGUGGCUCUGCCCUUAGUCUCCAGGUCUCCUGAGGUGCCAUAGAGUGGGUUAUCUUGUUACAGGACAGCCCUUCCAUUCUGGGAAGUCCCUCUCCUUCCAAGACCUCUUUUAUCCAGGUUAAUCAUUUGUGGUCCUCAGAGCUGAUCUCUGCAGGCCCUGGCUACUGACCCCUUAGCCAUCCUGGGAGCACAUGGCCAUUUGUCUAUGUCCUUAAAGUACAUAGCUGAGAUCAGGGCACAGUCAUUUAGGGAUGUCUCAUGAUUGUCCCUUCAUAUCUGCUGAGUUUUGAGGACAGGCCAGUCAGGUGGCCAUAGGACAAGGUUUCUCUCCCAAGGGCUACCUCCAGGGUAACCCAGAUAGAAUAGAUGCUGAGCUCCCCAAGAAGGUCCAUAUGGAGCCGCAAAAAAAUGGAACCCCCUGGAGUUCUGGUGAGCACACAAGGGCAAAUCUGAGUAAAGGUAAGCCCAGCAGUUCCCUCACAUCUUCAUGAGCUGACUAUAGCAAUGUGCCUUGUCAUAGAUGGGAGAGGGCAGAUGGUGGCUCAUCCCAAAUGGGCAAUGCUCCACAACCUUUGGACCAUAGUAGGACUUAGAAUUUCCUGUUAAACUUUUGGUCAAUGUUUCUGGAAUGCAAAUAAAGUAAAUCAAAUCCCAAGGGAUAAUAAAGUGCUCUUGCUCUUUCUCUCGCUCUCUUGUUACCUGUGACUGUAUCCUAAAGACUAUCAUUAGUAUUAUACUACUAAUACAUAAUACUAACAAAUAAA